rnacentral:rRNA from 1 species
CAUGAGACCACGGGGAGACAUCUUCCAGGGGUCAAAGGAGCAAUCCGGUAAGGGGUGGGCUCGCGUCCGAUCAGAUAGUUGGUGAGGUAACGGCCCACCAAGUCGACGAUCGGUAGCCGACCUGAGAGGGUGAUCGGCCACAUUGGGACUGAGACACGGCCCAAACUCCUACGGGAGGCAGCAGUGGGGAAUAUUGGGCAAUGGGGGGAACCCUGACCCAGCAACGCCGCGUGAGGGAAGAAGGUUUUCGGAUCGUAAACCUCUGUCCUUGGUGAAGAGUAAGAGACGGUAGCCAAGGAGGAAGCCCCGGCUAACUACGUGCCAGCAGCCGCGGUAAUACGUAGGGGGCGAGCGUUGUCCGGAAUGAUUGGGCGUAAAGGGCGCGUAGGCGGCCCGGUAAGUCUGGAGUGAAAGUCCUGCUUUUAAGGUGGGAAUUGCUUUGGAUACUGUCGGGCUUGAGUGCAGGAGAGGUAAGUGGAAUUCCCAGUGUAGCGGUGAAAUGCGUAGAGAUUGGGAGGAACACCAGUGGCGAAGGCGACUUACUGGACUGUAACUGACGCUGAGGCGCGAAAGUGUGGGG